rnacentral:rRNA from 1 species
AUACGUAGGGUGCAAGCGUUAAUCGGAAUUACUGGGCGUAAAGCGUGCGCAGGCGGUUUUGUAAGACACAGGUGAAAUCCCCGGGCUCAACCUGGGGACUGCCUUUGUAACUGCCAGGCUAGAGUACGGGAGAGGGGGGUGGAAUUCCGCGUGUAGCAGUGAAAUGCGUAGAUAUGCGGAGGAACACCGAUGGCGAAGGCAGUCCCCUGGGCCAUGACUGACGCUCAUGCACGAAAGCGUGGGGAGCAAACAGGAUUGGAUUCCCUGGUAGUCCACGCCCUAAACGAUGUCAACUGGUUGUUGGGUCUUCAUUGACCCAGUAACGAAGCUAACGCGUGAAGUUGACCGCCCGGGGAGUACGGCCGCAAGGUUGAAACUUAAAGGAAUUGACGGGG